CCCGAGGUGCAGUCCAAUCUCUCUGACACAAACACUCGAGAACAAAGCUGCCCGGCUAAUUCAGGGAAUUAUCAGGAAGCCUGGAGCUGUGCUGAGAUAAUGAGCCUGAAAUAGCAGCCUGCUGGGUCUGCAGCAGCGCCGGGACCUGGGCUGGGACCCCAGAGGAGGCCAAGGCCAACUUCAGGUGGAUGAGCUCCCACCCUGGUUCCUGCGGAAGUUUGGGAAAACAAACAGAAAAUUCAGUGUCACCACUGCAUGGACUGCAUGGAGCUGCCCUGAGUGCUGCCCAACAUGUACAGCUGUCACCCUGCCUUCCUGCAAGCAUCAGCUCAGAUGCAUAAAUCCCAUGGAGAGAGGUUCCAUUUGGUCUUGGCAGUGGUUCCCAGCCCGUGCAUUUUGACGCAGAUUCUCCAACUGUUUGUAAACGCUUCCAAGCAAGGAGGAAGGAGGUGGGAAGCAUAGCGCCUUGCUGCAGGCAGGAGCACGGCUGGGGAGCAGGGCAGGGAGCUGAGCCUGGCUGUCCUCACCUCCUUAUCAUCACCAAAAUGAUGGGGAUGGCUGCUGUGGGCCCGGAGGUUAUCAGAGGUGGGCGAACGUGGGAGGAAGGGAUGCAGAAGGACCAACGUGGUGCUGUGCAGCAUGGGAGCAGCAGAAGGCAACAGGGCAAGGCAGCAAGGGCAGUGCCAAUGCCACCCCCUGUACUCUGAAACCCCCACUGUUCAGCCCCCUAUUUACAUGAAUACAAAAUCCACUUGCAGCUUCCUAAAUAAAACAAGAACUCGCUCCUUUCUGUAGUAGAGCAUAUUACAGCCAUUUGUCACCACAUCAUCCAGUAGGUAUUAAUUCCCAAAUCAGUUUAUGACAUGUUUUAUCAUAAGUUACUGGAGAAGGUAGCUGCAUUGAGCAAUCAUUUGAUAAACGGCACCAUAAUUUAACAUGCUCCUCCGUCAUAUUAGUGGGGAGCAAGAUUUAUUUCCUUCGUGUGACUUUAAUUAUGGAUAAUGCAAAGCAGGGAUUGAGGCGGCCGUGCUGCUGAGGCUAGCAGUGUCCUUGUGGAGCAGAGUUCGGGUGAUGUGUGGCUUCUGCAGGACCAGGGGGUGGCAAAGGUGGCUCUGGGUCAUCAGUGGCAGCUCAUCGUGGCUCAUCAUGGCUUGGCACAGCUUAGCAUAGCUCAGUGUGGCUCACCAUGACUUGGCAUGGCUUGGCAUGUCUCAACGUAACUCAGCAUGGCUCAGCAUGGCUCAGGUGACUUCCUUGUUCCCAAAUGGAUGAAGAAUCCAAGCCACUGAAUCAUCUCAAGGCUCUGUUUGCUGCUGUCCCACCCAGGAAGGCUCCAGGUGCAGAGGGAUGCUGCACUCCUCCCUCUAUCCUUCAGGCCAUCCCUGCUUUUGGGCUAAAUUCUGAAUUACUGAAGAGUACAGGGCACAAGGGGGUAAGGAGCACAGAGGGAAGAGAUGCUAACACACAUUGAGCUGAUGUCAUUUCUUUUAGUCAGGAGCAGGAGAAACACAAUCCAGUUCUCUCCCCCCCACAACAGAACAAAGGAGAAAGUCCCUAAGGGGAGAUUAAAAAUAAAAAACCCACAAAACGAGAGGAGAGGAACAAAAAGAAAGAAGAAAGGGAAGGACAAAGCCCUCCUCCCCUGAAGUAUCCCCUCUCUGUGUCUGACAGCUUCUCCCUUCCGCAGCUCCCAGCCCUGCUCAACCUUACAGUGCCAUAAAACAGAGUUUGUGGCGUGUUCAAUCGAUUAUUCCUCCUAAUGCACUGUUUUUGGAGACAGGUAAUUUAUUUCAGA